AGCGGCGAACGGGUGAGGAAUGCAUGGGUAACCUACCCUCGAGUGGGGAAUAACUAGCCGAAAGGUUAGCUAAUACCGCAUACGAUUCCCGGACUGCGGUCCGGGAGGGAAAGCGAUACCGUGGGUAUCGCGCUCUUGGAUGGGCUCAUGUCCUAUCAGCUUGUUGGUGAGGUAAUGGCUCACCAAGGCUUCGACGGGUAGCUGGUCUGAGAGGACGAUCAGCCACACUGGCACUGCGACACGGGCCAGACUCCUACGGGAGGCAGCAGUAAGGAAUAUUGCGCAAUGGACGAAAGUCUGACGCAGCGACGCCGCGUGGGGGAUGAAGGUCUUCGGAUUGUAAACCCCUUUCGGCAGGGAAGAUGGAACGGGUAACCGUUCGGACGGUACCUGCAGAAGCAGCCACGGCUAACUUCGUGCCAGCAGCCGCGGUAAUACGAAGGUGGCAAGCGUUGUUCGGAUUCACUGGGCGUACAGGGAGCGUAGGCGGUUGGGUAAGCCCUCCGUGAAAUCUCCGGGCCUAACCCGGAAAGCGCAGAGGGGACUGCUCGGCUAGAGGAUGGGAGAGGAGCGCGGAAUUCCCGGUGUAGCGGUGAAAUGCGUAGAGAUCGGGAGGAAGGCCGGUGGCGAAGGCGGCGCUCUGGAACAUUUCUGACGCUGAGGCUCGAAAGCGUGGGGAGCAAACAGGAUUAGAUACCCUGGUAGUCCACGCCUUAAACUAUGGAUACUAAG
rnacentral:rRNA from 1 species